UUAUUUCUCUUAUAUGAUUUAUCUGCUUCUUAUAUACCCCAUGAGCAAGGAAAAUAUAAUAUACAUUUUCUUGAAAAUUAAAUUCUUUAAGUGAGGGAGUAAAUUGUCUCAACAUAUCCAUAUUUAAAUUCGAGGUAUUCAGAUUUUUGAACAUUUUGGUUGAGUUACUAAAGUCGCUUUUAUUCUAAUCAAUUUGGGGGUAAAAUAGGUGAUAGAUAGAUAUUCCCAGAACCUAUGAAUUGUGUUUUGAGAGAUCCCAUGAUAUGGAUAAUCUAGGAUGCUGAAAUAUGCUCAACACUGGCCUACACACUAUUUCCAUUAUUUAAUUAGGAUCUCCUAUUGGACGCGGUAACACUUGAGUUACUAGAGUGAAAAAUGGAGUGCAGGGGUGUAUAGCAGCCAAUCAGCUUCUAACUUUAGCUGCUUUAAUUAAGCUUUGAAAAUAAAACCUGGAAGUUGAUUGGUUUCUAGGCAGAUUUGCACCAGCUUUUGCACUCCCCAGAUUUACUAAAUCAACCCCACAUAAGAAGUUUGCCAAAAUCUGACCAGUAUAUGAUGUAAUCCAAUUAAGUGACACUGCAGUUAGGAAUAAAACAAGUAAAAUAAUAUCGUGAUAAUAUGUAAAACUUCACUAAAUCCAAUAUUUGUGUUCUAAUCUAUACCACAGAGAAACAUAAAUCCCCAGGGCUGUCACAUGUGGAUUAUUCUGCCAGCUAUUAAGUCAAAUAUUGGGUAUUUUCUUUGAGGGUUGAGAAGGACAAAGAUGGCAGUCACAAAUUAAUUAGAUAACAAACAUGUGCUUUAUAAGUUAUUUUUUUUUCUUUCCUCUCCUGGUUAAUAAACCCUUGACGUUAUUAUCAGAAAAGCUCUUGGUCCUUUGUACUGAGUCUAUAUAAAAAGGGCAGAUAAUGAAGACUGUAUUAACCGCCCUGUACAAGUUGAAUAAACAAAGGUGUCUAGGUCUCAAUACACAUCCCUGGGAGAGGGUGACAAGAGUCAGGAGAGGGCUCAGAUACACACAGGACCAACACUGGGAAUAAUGUGCCAUCUCUGCUCCAAGCUAAUAAUGUUAGCCCUCAGCCACAUGAAUGAGAGCACAUUAUACAUUAAACAGAACACACCUGAACACUCACCAGCCCAGCCAGUCCUCUGCAAAAUGCCGCCUGCCUUUAUUUUCUAAUAUUUAUUUUUUAAUCAAUCAAGAAUUCUUCAGCCUGUUUUUCUCCGACUUAAAAGAAUGAGAGGAGGUCAGAGGUGGGGUCUGUGCCAAGACUGAAGACAAGAAUGCAUACCAUUAAAUAACCUCCCUUUAUAUGGACCAACUGCCUCUAGAUUUAGGGUGCCUGCACUACUGGGUACCUACCUAUCUCUGCUGGGGUGCACUGUAUUUUAUGGAGGGCAAGCAAAAUAUAAGUCCAGAUCUGAGCUGCAUGACAGAAUGGCAGAACCCAGAAAUGAUGAUCUCCAAUUUGCUUUUGCUUGUAAAUGGCUGUAAAGAUCCAUAAUAAAAAUGUGAUGUAUGGACGGGCGCUCUUUGUUGUAGUUGUACGCGGCUUAUGUUACGGAUCUGAGAAGUCCCAUACAGUUGUCCCGGGUCAACUCUUUUUAUUAUUUACAGGAAGAAGACAGUAAACAUUUCAUUUCAUCAACUUCUCCCGGAUAUAUAUAUAUUUUUAUUGAUGUCUUUAGUAUAAAUGACACACUCUGAUCACUCCUAGCAGUUGUAUCGGUUUUGUGUAGAAAUAA